AUGACAUGUCUCUAAAGGUAAUUGUAUGUGCAUCCCCAUUUCUGUUGUUGAAUAAAGAAAAACUAAACAUCAAUAGAUUCCCAAGCAGAACUUUUUUGUUGUUGUUCAGCAGGCACACUUUCUAGUAAGGUUGCCAAAAUCCAAAUUGAAGCAGAUCAUUAGUUUAGAUGAAAUCUUUGAUUCUAUAAAAAAUUCCUAUAAAAACAAUGUCUCUCUACAUGGUUUUUCUUUCUCAACUCCAGCUAUGAAUGAAAUAAAAAAUAGAAUCAUUGGUUCAGUUUAACAAGGGGUAAAAAGCCCAAGUAUCUGUUGCAUAUGUACUUGAAGAAACUGAUUGGCUGUUGUUGUAUGUAGGUAAACCCCAGUGAUAGGUACCAUCUUAUGCCUAUAAUUACACCAGCAUACCCACAACAGAACUCCACGUACAAUGUGUCCGUUUCAACACGGAUGGUCAUGGUUGAGGAGUUUAAACAAGGUCUUGCUAUCACAGAUGAAAUUUUGCUGAGUAAGGCAGAGUGGUCCAAACUUUUUGAAGCUCCAAACUUCU
rnacentral:lncRNA from 1 species